AGAACGGCUGUUAAGUUUUAGCUGCUAACGUUAGUUUUAGUUGGUGUUCGUGUUCGUGUGUUCCUGUAACCACAACUUCUGAGUAGCGAGCAGGUGCCCAGCUCAAGCAGUCCAACAUCCGAUGGCAGAACAACCCUUGAUAGAGUGGAGCAGUGGUCUCUUUGACUGUUUUGAAGAUGUGGGGACUUGUUGCUAUGGUUGUUGGUGCUGCCCUUGCCUUGCCUGCACAGUUUCAGAAAGAUUUGGAGAGAACCGUUGUCUCCCAUGUUGUGACAU